AAUAAACCUGGCAAUAUCUGAGCCUGGCACACAGGCAAAAGGUCUCCUAUUUGGAGACGAUUUCAUUAAAACUCUGGGCAAAUAUGUUAAAACGUUUAUGGCACUAGACAAGGCACAGAAUAGUAUGAAGCGAGUGUUCUCACAGAAGGUUUCGGUGGGGCCGGCAGACGGCGGGACUACCGAGGCUCCACCACAAUGAGAUUCCACCCUCCAGAACCCAGAGUACCGUCACCAUUCUUCC